UACGAAGGGUGCAAACGUUGCUCGGAAUUAUUGGGCGUAAAGAGCUCGUAGGCGGUUUGUCGCGUCUGCCGUGAAAGUCCGGGGCUCAACUCCGGAUCUGCGGUGGGUACGGGCAGACUAGAGUGUUGCAGGGGAGACUGGAAUUCCUGGUGUAGCGGUGAAAUGCGCAGAUAUCAGGAGGAACACCGGUGGCGAAGGCGGGUCUCUGGGCCACUACUGACGCUGAGAAGCGAAAGCGUGGGGAGCGAACAGG
rnacentral:rRNA from 1 species